rnacentral:rRNA from 1 species
UACAGAGGUCUCAAGCGUUGUUCGGAAUCACUGGGCGUAAAGGGUGCGUAGGUGGGUUGGUAAGUCAGUGGUGAAAUCUCCGAGCUUAACUUGGAAACUGCCAUUGAUACUAUCAGUCUUGAAUAUUGUGGAGGUCAGCGGAAUAUGUCAUGUAGCGGUGAAAUGCUUAGAUAUGACAUAGAACACCAAUUGCGAAGGCAGCUGGCUACACAUAUAUUGACACUGAGGCACGAAAGCGUGGGGAUCAAACAGG